rnacentral:rRNA from 1 species
UACAGAGGGGGCAAGCGUUAUUCGGAAUUAUUGGGCGUAAAGGGCGCGUAGGCGGCUUGGCAAGUGGAAGGUGAAAUCCCUCGGCUUAACCGAGGAACUGCCCUCCAAACUGCUUGGCUUGAGACCGGGAGAGGUGAGUGGAAUUCCCAGUGUAGCGGUGAAAUGCGUAGAUAUUGGGAGGAACACCAGUGGCGAAGGCGGCUCACUGGACCGGUACUGACGCUGAUGCGCGAAAAGCGUGGGGAGCAAACGGG